GCCUAGCCGUAAACAAUUUAUUUACAUAUUCUAACGCCAGGGCAUUACGAGCAAUGCUUAAAACCCAAAGGACUUGACGGUGUCCCACCCACCUAGAGGAGCCUGUUCUAUAAUCGAUAACCCCCGCUCUACCUAACCAUUCUUUGCCUAAUCAGUCUGUAUACCUCCGUCGAAAGCUUACCAUAUGAACGCCCAUAGUAAGCCCAAUGGCCGCCCGCCAAUACGUCAGGUCAAGGUGCAACUUAUAGGAUGGAAAGAAAUGGGCUACAAUUUCUAAAGUAGAAUAAACGAAAGACUGCUUGAAACCCCAGUCAUGAAGGAGGAUCUAGUAGUAAAAAGAGAAUAGAGAGUUCUUUUUAACUCGGCACUGGGACGCGUACACACCGCCCGUCACCCUCUUCAAUAGUUCUUUGUCCCGAUUAUUAACAAAUUAGCCACGUCUU
rnacentral:rRNA from 1 species